UCCCUGGUGGUCCACUGGCUAAGAAUCCUCCUUUCAACGCAGGAGAUCUGGGUUCAAUUCCUAGUCAGGGAA
rnacentral:tRNA from 1 species